GUCACCCUAAAUAGCAGCAGGAAAAAGGAGCUACAGUUAAUCCACAAGCUGCAGAACUUUGGUAUCAUCCUCCGACAGCACUGAGGGAGAGAGACCACUGGAAUGCAGUGGCCUUCCCUAGGGAGCAACAAAUAAGAGGGGAGGAAGGAGGGAGAGAGAGAGAGAGAGAGAGAGACUGACUGUCACACCUUCCUCUGGCAACAGCGAGGGAGAGGCUGGAAGAUGGCGUUGGACACUGGCUUGCUUUCUGCGCUUGCCUCUCUGUUUCCAAUCUUCUACCGCACUCAAUGGGCAAGAUCGGUGAGAAAUGGAGUCGAUCACAGGCUGGCACCUCAUCUCUAAGUUUUUGAACUUGAGGCUGCUCGGAACCAUCUCAGAGACAGCAAAGCAACGGGUGGCUCAAAAAACACACCAUCAAACUGCAGGUCACAGCCUCCAACACUACCAGCACCACACUUGAAAGAAAAAAGAUGACGUAAAAGAAGUGAAAGAUACAAUUAGGCGUACCAUCUGGAGAAUGUCGCCCGUCAAAGGAAAACAGAGAAAUAGAAUUGAAUCAAUGAAAAACUGUACACAAAGACAGAACAACAACCAAUGUGCAAAAGAAGACUAUCUGUGCAAAGAAAAACACACAGAACCAUAUCCGAUGCGGACGUUGGUGACCAUGGUGAUCUAUCCUUCGUUCUUCGGAUGACUUCCAUUUCCUCGAUGUGUAGCCACCUGGCUAUGCU